UCUCCGUUGGUGAACCAGCGGAGGGAUCAUUACUGGAAUCGCAAGAUCCCACAACCCUGUGAACCUACCGAAACGUUGCCUCGGCGGGUGCCCGGCCCCCGCGCCGGGCGCCGCGCCCGCCGGCGGCCCCCUACUCUGUCUCUGCAGCGUGGCAUCUCAGAGUCCCAGAAAACAAGUCAAAACUUUCAACAACGGAUCUCUUGGCUCUA
rnacentral:misc_RNA from 1 species